UACGUAGGGUGCAAGCGUUAAUCGGAAUUACUGGGCGUAAAGCGUGCGCAGGCGGUUCUCUAAGUCAGAUGUGAAAUCCCCGGGCUCAACCUGGGAACUGCAUUUGUGACUGUAGAGCUGGAGUACGGUAGAGGGGGAUGGAAUUCCGCGUGUAGCAGUGAAAUGCGUAGAUAUGCGGAGGAAUACCGAUGGCGAAGGCAGCCCCCUGGGAUAACACUGACGCUCAUGCACGAAAGCGUGGGGAGCAAACAGG
rnacentral:rRNA from 1 species